rnacentral:lncRNA from 1 species
AGUAGGCACAAUAGAUCUAGAAGGGGAGGUUGAAUAGAUCCUUUUACUUUUAAAUACUUUUCUGGUUUAUUUUGUAUUGCUAAUAAUUUAGCAUAUGACAAACAUAAGAAUCUUUUCAAGCACAGCGGAAUAAGUAAAAGAUCCCCUUCAUUGAUAUAUUCAUAAUCAUACAUACAUUGUUCGUAGAGUUAGUUCAGUGGUAAGCAGUUAAAAUAUACAUAGCAAUUAUAACAGUUAAUGUACAUAAUGUAAAUGACAUAAAGUAAAAGACACAAGGGGUUUUAAGUGGUUCAGAGACUCAAGCUCCUAAUCCACUCUUCUGCUUUCAACUAGCAGGAUUUCCACUAAGGAAGGGCAGCACCCUGAAUCACUAAGAUUCCUUCAAGGCCAGCAGCCUUGGGACUUCAGUUCACUAAGAACUCUUCAAGGCUAGAAGCCUUGGAACUUCUCUAAUUCCCUAGGAACUCUUUAAGCCCAGCAGGCUUGGAACUUCAUUUAGUCCCUCUGGACAAGGACCCCUCAGGCCCUGGCUUCUUGUUGUUGUAGUUGUUG